GGUUGGUCCAACGGUAGUGAGUUAUCAGAGCUUAUUAACGUUGGUGUCAGUCAAGUUGCUAUUCAAGUCUCCACUGCUAAAUCUGACUGGCUAAAA
rfam:Otolemur garnettii contig045978, whole genome shotgun sequence.